rnacentral:rRNA from 1 species
UACGGAGGGUGCAAGCGUUGUCCGGAAUCACUGGGCGUAAAGGGCGCGUAGGCGGCCUGGCAAGUCUGAUGUGAAAGCCCUCGGCUUAACCGAGGAAGUGCAUUGGAAACUGCUGGGCUUGAGUGCGGGAGAGGUAAGCGGAAUUCCGAGUGUAGCGGUGAAAUGCGUAGAUAUUCGGAGGAACACCGGUUGCGAAGGCGGCUUACUGGACCGUCACUGACGCUGAGGCGCGAAAGCGUGGGGAGCAAACAGG